ACUUAAUCAUGCAUCACGUUCAUAUUAAAAGCUUGCUGCCGUAGCAUAACAUCUAAAAACGGCAUAAAAUUCGCUUAAAAACGAGGCCUUUUUUAGUACGUAGGCGUCUUCUGGGUCGUAUGAACCCACAAGAUGAAUCGUGCAUGCACACUCUUAUUGGCUAAAUAACAUCAUAACCUGAGUGUGUAUCUUUUGAAGAUUUUUACGAUCCUUAGCGAAC
rfam:Drosophila bipectinata retrotransposon R2 reverse transcriptase gene, partial cds.